GCCUAUCUUCACCUAUCACACAAACAUUGGGGUCCAUCUUCACCUAUCACACAAGCAUUGGAGGCCAGGGGAAGGUGGGGAGAGUAAGGAGCCAAACAUUUAAUAUCUGGUAACUGUAAAUCUAUAACUAUUUCAUACUAAUCAUAUGCUAAGAAAAUUGUAUUUCAAGAUAACACAAAGCUAAUGAUAGCCGGGGGUCUAUAGGAAACAACCUCUCUACCUCACCUCUGAGGUAGUGGUAUGGACUGCGUACACUUACCGUCCCCAGACCCCACUUUGUGGGAAUAUAUUGGGUAUGUUGUUGUUACAAUGCUAAUGAUUCUUUUAGACCCAUCUUACUCAUUCUUCAAGCAUAGCAUUAGCUUACCAUUAACUCUACACAACAGCUUUUUUGAUCAAUAAACAAAAAAUUUCACUAAUCACCCAAUAUCUUGAAUUUCAUUAAAUUCAGCAGUCAAGAGAUAAGCAACUUUCAAGAACUAAAUGAUUCUGCUAGUCCCAAGAGUAAGUCCUGUAUACGCUUCAAACUGAACUAGUUGGGGGCUAUAAAAAUCUAAAUACGUAGGAAAAAAGAAUACAAAGUAAUAGUUGGCUGCGUUAUCAACUUUAGUUAUCCUGGCAUGUUUCACUUUUAAACAACAUACAACAGGAAAAGCAUACAUAUAUAAGCGCACGUCACACCAAAGCUGAGGAAAGGAUGUUCCACUGUGCAAGUACAUCUACAGCCUUCCCUUGUAUUAAGCAUCAACCAUAUCCAUUAAUAAUCCCCACUCUAAGCAUAUGAGUAUACUAGUUCAACUUAGGAAUAAGAACUUGCUAGAUAAAUACCGAUCAAAACAAAAUUGCUAGAUAAAUAUUUAAGCAUGCACCCAAGGGUGUGGCCUAGUGGUUCAACGAAGUUGGGUUAAGCACUAUGAGGUCUCACGUACAAUUCCCGAUCACAACAGAAACAAACACUAGGUGAUUUCUUCUCAUCUGUUCUAGCCUUGGUGGACAAAGUUAUCUGAUACUUGCGCUGGUGGGAGGUGGCAGGUAUCCCAUGGAGUUAGUCGAGGUGCACGCAAACUGGCCCGGACACCACAAUUAUCAAAAAAAAUAAAAUCUAAGCAUUAAACAAGUGAUACAAACUCGCAUAUUUGACAAAUCAAGUUUAACCCUGGAAAACACACUAUAUCACAGAGUGCAAACUAUUGGAACAGGAUGUUAAUUAGGAAGAUCAACAUAGAAAAGGUUUUGUGAUACACCAGAAAUACAUUCAGAAGUACUCCUUAAACACCAGAAAUACAUUCAGAAGUACUCCUUAACAAUCUCACAGAAUUAUAUCACAAC
rnacentral:lncRNA from 1 species